UACGAAGGGUGCUAGCGUUGCUCGGAAUUACUGGGCGUAAAGGGCGCGUAGGCGGACAUUUAAGUCAGAGGUGAAAUCCCGGAGCUUAACUUCGGAACUGCCUUUGAUACUGGGUGUCUUGAGUGUGAGAGAGGUAUGUGGAACUCCGAGUGUAGAGGUGAAAUUCGUAGAUAUUCGGAAGAACACCAGUGGCGAAGGCGACAUACUGGCUCAUUACUGACGCUGAGGCUCGAAAGCGUGGGGAGCAAACAGG
rnacentral:rRNA from 1 species